UACGAAGGGGGCGAGCGUUGUUCGGAAUUACUGGGCGUAAAGGGCGCGUAGGCGGUCCCCCAAGUCAGGCGUGAAAGCCCCGGGCUCAACCUGGGAACGGCGCUUGGGACUGGUGGGCUAGAGUUCGGGAGAGGAUGGUGGAAUUCCCAGUGUAGAGGUGAAAUUCGUAGAUAUUGGGAAGAACACCGAUGGCGAAGGCAGCCAUCUGGACCGACACUGACGCUGAGGCGCGAAAGCGUGGGGAGCAAACAGGAUUAGAAACCCCGGUAGUCC
rnacentral:rRNA from 1 species